UGGCGGACGGGUGAGUAAUGUCUGGGAAACUGCCCGAUGGAGGGGGAUAACUACUGGAAACGGUAGCUAAUACCGCAUAACGUCGCAAGACCAAAGAGGGGGACCUUAGGGCCUCGCGCCAUCAGAUGAACCCAUAUGGGAUUAGCUAGUAGGUAAGGUAACGGCUUACCUAGGCGACGAUCCCUAGCUGGUCUGAGAGGAUGAUCAGCCACACUGGGACUGAGACACGGCCCAG
rnacentral:rRNA from 1 species